AUUGAACGCUGGCGGCAGGCCAACACAUGCAAGUCGAACGAGUGGCGGACGGGUGAGUAAUAUAUCGGAACGUGCCUAGUAGCGGGGGAUAACUACUCGAAACGGUGCUAUACCGCAUACUAUUGGAUCGGCCCAUAUCGGAUUAGCUAGUGGGUGGGGUAACGGCUCACCAAGGCAACGAUCCGUAGCUGGUUUGAGAGGAUGACCAGCCACACUGGGACUGAGACACGGCCCAGACUCCUACGGGAGGCAGCAGUGGGGAAUAUUGGACAAUGGGGGAAACCCUGAUGCAGCCAUGCCGCGUGUAUGAAGAAGGCUUCGGGUUGUAAAGUACUUUCGGCAGGGAAGCGGUACCUGCAGAAGAAGCACCGGCUAACUCCGUGCCAGCAGCCGCGGUAAUUC
rnacentral:rRNA from 1 species